ensembl:ncRNA C41A3.7 ncRNA
CACUUUCAAAAGUGAUUACUUUGGCGACCGCGAGACAGAAAAUCUGGCCAAGCCCCUUUCCGCGCAGUUUGUUCGGUAGUGUGUUAUACUGAACAAGAAGCUCGAAUGUAGCCAUACUUGAUAUGAGACGAGAAACAUUGUAAGUGAGUGGAGUGAGAGUGAGCUUGAAAGGAAAGAAAAGCGCUGUUCUUGCUUCAGGAAAGCCGCAUGUUUCUGCUAACUUGC